GGCAGACGAGCGGGAGAGCCCGUCGUCCCUCACCGGACGCGGCGCCGAAGGAGCAACCGCCCCGGAAACUCUCAGGCCACCGGACCGCUCGGCUGCG
rnacentral:ncRNA from 2 species